rnacentral:RNase_P_RNA from 1 species
AAAGGUGAGGUAAGAGCUCACCGGCAGUCUGGUGACAGGCUGGCCCUGCAAACCCCACUUGGAGCAAGACCGAAUAGGGAGACUAUGAAACGGCCCGUUUUUGUCUCCGGGUAAGGUCGCUUGAGGCCGUUGGUAACAACGGUCCUAGAUAGAUGAUCAUCACCUUCUGAAAGGAAGGGACAGAACCCGGCUUACAGAUUGGCUUUGCUA